rnacentral:rRNA from 1 species
UACGUAGGCAGCAAGCGUUGUUCGGAAUUACUGGGCGUAAAGAGUGUGUAGGCGGUGCUCUAAGUUUGGUGUGAAAUCUCCCGGCUCAACUGGGAGGGUGCGCCGAAAACUGGAAUGCUUGAACGUGGAAGAGGAAAGCGGAAUUCCUGGUGUAGCGGUGAAAUGCGUAGAUAUCAGGAGGAACACCUGCGGUGUAGACGGCUUUCUGGACCAUUGUUGACGCUGAGACACGAAAGCGUGGGUAGCAAACAGG